rnacentral:rRNA from 1 species
CCAAUAGCGUAUAUUAAAGUUGUUGCAGUUAAAAAGCUCGUAGUUGAAUUUCGGGACCAAUAUGUCGGUCGUGCCUCGGUACGUACUGGCGUCAUUGGUUUCUCCCUUCUGAGGAUCCUUGAUGUCAUUAAUUUGGUGUCUUGGGGAAUCAGGACUGUUACCUUGAAAAAAUUAGAGUGUUUAAAGCAGGCAUACGCUUGAAUACAUUAGCAUGGAAUAAUGAAAUAGGACGUUCGAUUCUAUUUUGUUGGUUUCUAGGAUCGACGUAAUGAUUAAUAGGGAUAGUUGGGGGCAUUAGUAUUCAAUUGUCAGAGGUGAAAUUCUUGGAUUUAUUGAAGACUAACUACUGCGAAAGCAUUUGCCAAGGAUGUUUUCAUUAAUCAAGAACGAAAGUUAGGGGAUCGAAGACGAUCAGAUACCGUCGUAGUCUUAACCAUAAACUAUGCCGACUAGGGAUCGGAUGAUGUUAAUUUUUUAAUGACUCAUUCGGCGCCUUACG